rnacentral:lncRNA from 1 species
GAGAAUGUUGCACUAUGUUACCCAAAGAGUGGAUCAAAACUGCACUAAAACACAACACAAAAAAGACAAAUUUUAAUAAGUUGAACGACAAGAUAAUCGAUAAAAAACUAAAGAAAGUUUAAACGGUAAGCAUAAGAAAAACCACGCACCUGAGAUGAAGAGAGAAAAAGGAGAGGACGGAGACAAUGACGUUAUGAGAAAAUACAAUGCAAUGCCGGAAGAGAUAAAAAG